rnacentral:rRNA from 1 species
AGUAAGGAAUAUUGGUCAAUGGACGCAAGUCUGAACCAGCCAUGCCGCGUGAAGGAUGAAGGUCCUCUGGAUUGUAAACUUCUUUUAUAUGGGAAGAAAUCCACUUUUUCUUGAGUGGUUGACGGUACCAUAGGAAUAAGCACCGGCUAACUCCGUGCCAGCAGCCGCGGUAAUACGGAGGGUGCAAGCGUUAUCCGGAUUCACUGGGUUUAAAGGGUGCGUAGGAGGACAGGUAAGUCCGUGGUGAAAUCUCUGAGCUUAACUCAGAAACUGCCGUGGAUACUCUCUGUCUUGAAUAUCGUGGAGGUGAGCGGAAUAUGUCAUGUAGCGGUGAAAUGCUUAGAUAUGACAUAGAACACCAAUUGCGAAGGCAGCUCGCUACACGAAUAUUGACUCUGAGGCACGAAAGCGUGGGGAUCAAA